rnacentral:rRNA from 1 species
GAUGAACGCUGGCGGCGUGCCUAAUACAUGCAAGUCGAGCGAACGGACGAGAAGCUUGCUUUUCUGAUGUUAGCGGCGGACGGGUGAGUAACACGUGGAUAACCUACCUAUAAGACUGGGAUAACUUCGGGAAACCGGAGCUAAUACCGGAUAAUAUUUUGAACCGCAUGGAUCAAAAGUGAAAGACGGUCUUGCUGUCACUUAUAGAUGGAUCCGCGCUGCAUUAGCUAGUUGGUAAGGUAACGGCUUACCAAGGCAACGAUGCAUAGCCGACCUGAGAGGGUGAUCGGCCACACUGGAACUGAGACACGGUCCAGACUCCUACGGGAGGCAGCAGUAGGGAAUCUUCCGCAAUGGGCGAAAGCCUGACGGAGCAACGCCGCGUGAGUGAUGAAGGUCUUCGGAUCGUAAAACUCUGUUAUUAGGGAAGAACAUAUGUGUAAGUAACUGUGCACAUCUUGACGGUACCUAAUCAGAAAGCCACGGCUAACUACGUG